GUGUAUUUUGACCGUGCUAAGGUAGCANAAUCAUUUGUUUUUNAAUUGAUAACUGGAAUGAAAGGUUACUCUUAUUUUAAUUUUUGUNAAACUNAAAUAAUAAAUNAAAGUNAGGGUAAGAAUUCUUUAAUUUUCNAGGGGACGAUAAGACCCNAGAAGCUUAAUAUAGAGUUAUACUUANAGAAAAAGUUGAUUAUUUAUUUUACUGGGGCGGUAGAAAUAAACUUACUAUUUAGAUGUAAAAGAUCUUUAAAAUUAAGANAAUUGGUAUUAGUUACUCUAGGGAUAACAGUGCAAUUUUUUNAGAAAGACCUUAUUGAUGAANAAGUUUGCAACCUCGAUGUUGAAUUAAGAUAUCUAAGUAAUGCAAAAGGUACUAAAGAAGGCUGUUCAACCUUUAAAGUCUUACAUGAUCUGAGUUCAAACCGGA
rnacentral:rRNA from 1 species